UUUAAUUCGACGCAACGCGAAGGACCUUACCAAGCCUUGACAUUGAUCGCAAGGAGUAGAGAUACUCUGUUCUUCUUCGGAAGACGAGAAAACAGGUGGUGCACGGCUGUCGUCAGCUCGUGUCGUGAGAUGUUGGGUUAAGUCCCGCAACGAGCGCAACCCCUAUCUUCUGUUACCAGCACGUAAGGGUGGGGACUCAGGAGAGACUGCCGCAGACAAUGCGGAGGAAGGCGGGGAUGACGUCAAGUCAUCAUGCCCCUUAUGGCUUAGGCUACACACGUACUACAAUGGCUCUUAAUAGAGGGAAGCGAAGGAGCGAUCCGGAGCAAACCCCAAAAACAGAGUCUCAGUUCGGAUUGUAGGCUGCAACUCGCCUACAUGAAGCAGGAAUCGCUAGUAAUCGCAGGUCAGCAUACUA
rnacentral:rRNA from 1 species